AAGGCCUUCGGGUUGUAAAGCACUUUUGUCCGGAAAGAAAACCUCUUGGCUAAUAUCUGAGGGGGAUGACGGUACCGGAAGAAUAAGCACCGGCUAACUACGUGC
rnacentral:rRNA from 1 species